rnacentral:rRNA from 1 species
AAUGAACGCUGGCGGCGCGCCUAAUACAUGCAAGUCGAGCGAGAAGACGUAGCAAUACGUUUGUAAAGCGGCGAACGGGUGAGGAAUACAUGGGUAACCUACCCUCGAGUGGGGAAUAAUUAGCCGAAAGGUUAGCUAAUACCGCGUACGCUCCUUGGACUUCGGUUCAGGGAGGAAAGCGAUACCGUGGGUAUCGCGCUCUUGGUCGGGCUCAUGUCCUAUCAGCUUGUUGGUGAGGUAACGGCUCACCAAGGCUUCGACGGGUAGCUGGUCUGAGAGGACGAUCAGCCACACUGGCACUGCGACACGGGCCAGACUCCUACGGAGGCAGCAGUAAGGAAUAUUGCGCAAUGGGCGAAAGCCUGACGCAGCGACGCCGCGUGGGGGAUGAAGGUCUUCGGAUUGUAAACCCCUUUCGGGAGGGAAGAUGAAGAGCAAUCGGGUUCGACGGUACCUCCAGAAGCAGCCACGGCUAACUUCGUGCCAGCCGCCGUGGUAAG